CUCACCCUUGCCUAAUCUUGCCUAGCAAGGUUAGAGAACAAGCCAGCAUGCAUGUUUGGUUGCUUUGCUUGGUUUGAAUUUGUCAAGUGAGCAAAGAUUUCCUUACUUUUGAGAGAGAAUCAAACUGGCUCUCCCCACCAAGGUUUGCCUUGCCAAGCAUGGCAAGUGGACAAACUUAGGCAAGACAACGAAGCAUUAUAUUCCCUAAGUUUUCUAGGAGUUUGUCCAUGGCGGCCGCGACAGUCUCCGUGGUGGCGGCGCCCGCUCAGGGCCUGGUGGUUUCUUGACGCCGCCGCCGCCAACCAGCAACGAUCCAAUCGGGGGCAUCCAGCAAAGAAGGGGGCAUCGAUCCGCCGCCGCAGCUCUUGGAUCUUUAGCGACCCAGCGUGCGCUUCAUAGCAGCCUUAACGGAUCAUCUUCCACGCCGACCACCAGCAAACAGCUGGAUGUACCGACUGCACUUUGGUUCACUGAUUUACAUGUAUGGUUGGAUGACGCCCCGGUUGGAAAGAAAAGUGAAGGAACGGACAAGUUUGAUGAACGAUUGCUUAACCCAAGCCAUCGAAGCUGCUGAGCUGCUUCUAGCUUAUCUAGAUGGUUCUUCAGCGCAAAGCUCAGGACUUGGUAAGCAGCAGCCUGAUGGUAUGACUGGGAACAGAACUAGCGUUGACAAGUUAGAGGAAGCCAAGGAGCUGGAAACUCCCACCGAGUACUAUCAAGCUCAAAUCACCCAGCUUAAUGAGUUGGAAGCUGAAAUUUCCAGGCUCCAGAUUGCAUUGGAGUCUCGUUCACUAGGCGUAGUAAAAGACGUUCUAAUUUAGCUUAGUAAUUUUAAGAAUCGGGCUAAAAAAUGGGUUGAAAUACUAUAUAAUUUUGAGCAAAAUACAUAUAGGACUGAGUUGAUUGUGAAGGAGCCAUAAGGUCAUGAUUCAUUAUUCACCAAAGGAAAUCUCAUCUUUAGAAGCCAUGUGCAUGUACAUGCACGGACCUACAGUACUCAACAUGAGCUGAAUGUCCCUCUACCUCUCAUGCCUAUCAUAUCGAUCUCCACAAGCCACACAACGUCGCAGUCUUCCACCCAACCUAUAUGGAUGCUGGUAGAGGCAAAAGAGAUUACAAUUAUGCCAUUACAAUUCUUUACUUCUUCUAUUUCAAAUUAUGCUAUUACAAUUCUUCUUCUACUUCGGAUUUGCCAUUUUGUACGCCUUUGAUGCUCUUGGACCUACUUGCAGUCUCUGAUAUUUUCAUAUGGACAAAAAUGCCCCUGCUACAUCUUCUAUCUUCAUAUGCUGACAUGUGGGGGGCACCAAUCAUCUGCUUCCUCUUUCCUUUCUUCCCCAAUCCAUCUUCUUCCAAUGGAACCACCUAGCUCUAGCCUGACCCGCGCUCUCAUACGGCGCCGCCGAGCUCUAGCUCGGCCUUGCGCGUUCGCCGCUCCGCGCACACGCCCGGCCUCGGACGACCACUGCAGUUGCCGACGAACAUGAGGUAGUGGAAGUGGCUGGUCCCCGCGCUGCACUUGCACGCCCCCGCAGCGACCUACUUCCCGCAGCCGGCCAAGACGGGAGCGUGCGGGCGUACCCGCCGUCGGUGACGGCACGUCAGCUGGUUGGUAGCCUUGGAGUUUGGACCUUGUGGCCUCCCCCUGUUCCCAGACUUUUGUACCUUUCUGUCUAACUCCUUGACGCUGGCAUCCGCACCUUCUAAGGUCUCUAUCAGCCCAUCUCGUAUUCCUCGGUUCAGAUCAAAUGCAUCACCAAAUCACCACAGGUUUGCUUCACCGAUUGAAAUCGAUGCAUCACCAAAUCACGAUGGUUUUGCUUCACCGUGGCUGUGGGUGGGGCGGCGGAGGCAGAGGAGGUCGGCGUGAGAUGGGUGCGACUUGCGACCUUCGGUGCCUUCAAGUCUUAGGGCGGAAGGAAGGAGGAGAGAGGAAGGGGAUAACACGUGGGACACGUGUGUAAGUGAGGUGUAGCGGGGUAUCUUGGGCAUUACGAAAAUAUGGUGGCCUGCAGGUGGGUCCAAAAGUAUCAAAGAUGUAGAA